GACGAACGCUGGCGGCGUGCUUAACACAUGCAAGUCGAACGAUGAAGCCCAGCUUGCUGGGUGGAUUAGUGGCGAACGGGUGAGUAACACGUGGGCAACCUGCCCCAAACUCUGGGAUAACUCCUCGAAAGAGGUGCUAAUACCGGAUACGAACUAGACAGACAUCUGUACUAGUUGGAAAGUUUUUCGGUUUGGGAUGGGCCCGCGGCCUAUCAGCUUGUUGGUGAGGUAACGGCUCACCAAGGCUACGACAGGUAACCGGCCUGAGAGGGCGACCGGUCAAACGGGGACUGAGACCCGGCCCAGACGCCUACGGGAGGCAGCAGUGGGGAAUAUUGCGCAAUGGGCGAAAGCCUGACGCAGCGACGCCGCGUGAGGGAUGAAGGUCUUCGGAUCGUAAACCUCUUUCAGUAGGGACGAAGCGAAAGUGACGGUACCUAAAGAAGAAGCACCGGCUAACUACGUGCCAGCAGCCGCCGUAAAAC
rnacentral:rRNA from 1 species